rnacentral:rRNA from 1 species
GAUGAACGCUGGCGGCGUGCUUAACACAUGCAAGUCGAACGGAAAGGCUCCUGCUUGCAGGGGUACUCGAGUGGCGAACGGGUGAGUAACACGUGGGUGAUCUGCCCUGCACUUCGGGAUAAGCCUGGGAAACUGGGUCUAAUACCGGAUAGGACUAUGGUUUGGAUGCCAUUGUGGAAAGUUUUUCGGUGUGGGAUGAGCUCGCGGCCUAUCAGCUUGUUGGUGGGGUAAUGGCCUACCAAGGCGUCGACGGGUAGCCGGCCUGAGAGGGUGUACGGCCACAUUGGGACUGAGAUACGGCCCAGACUCCUACGGGAGGCAGCAGUGGGGAAUAUUGCACAAUGGGCGCAAGCCUGAUGCAGCGACGCCGCGUGGGGGAUGACGGCCUUCGGGUUGUAAACUCCUUUCGCUAGGGAAGAAGCGCAAGUGACGGUACCUGGAGAAGAAGCACCGGCUAACUACGUG